rnacentral:sRNA from 1 species
GCUGGGCACGGUGGUGCACACCUGUAAUCCCAGCUGCUCGGGAGGAUGAGACAGGAGGAUCACUAGUUCAUAACCAGCCUCAGCAACUUAGCGAGGCACUAAGCAACUCAGUGAGACCCUGUUUCUA